GAUGAAGAACGCAGCGAACUGCGAUAAGUAAUGUGAAUUGCAGAAUUCAGUGAAUCAUCGAGUCUUUGAACGCACAUUGCGCCCCCUGGCAUUCCGGGGGGCAUGCCUGUCCGAGCGUCAUUGCUGCCCUCAAGCACGGCUUGUGUGUUGGGCCCCCGCCCCCCGGCUUCGGGGGGCGGGCCCGAAAGGCAGCGGCGGCACCGCGUCCGGUCCUCGAGCGUAUGGGGCUUCGUCACCCGCUCUGUAGGCCCGGCCGGCGCCCGCCGGCGACCCCAAUCAAUCUUUCCAGGUUGACCUCGGAUCAGGUAGGGAUACCCGCUGAACUUAAGCAUAUCAAUAAGCGGAGGA
rnacentral:misc_RNA from 1 species